AGCAGCUUGAUAAUUUAAUAUCGCGUGUGAUUAAAUUAUAAGGCGUGGGGGAGGGGAGCUCUGCGCCACCUCGGCAGCCCCGCCGACGCCGACCAGCUAACCGGACUGGGCUGCGCGCGGAGCCCCCUCUUCCCGUGCACAGUGCGGGGCGAGGCUUGGCGAGCGGUGGGUCUGCGCCUUCCCAAGGUCAGUGGGUCUGGAGAGGGGAGGACGGCGGGACUGGGGGUGGCGGAAGGGAUGUCUUGCAGAGAGGAGGAGAGGUGUGGGCUCAGGGUAGCUCUGGUCUGAGCCGAUGAGCAGGGCGAGUCAUCGACUCUUUCCCCGGCAAAGGCGCGUGGAAGGCUGGAAAAUGGCCUCAGGCAAGGGAAGAUUUGUUUUUAAAAAUUCCUCUUUUCUCUGCCACGGGGGCUUAGAGAGUCCCUAGGAUUCGGAGACCCCUGGGGGGAAGGGGCGCCCCUCUGAGUCUCUCUCUGGAUCCCAUCCCCCCGACCCCGCCCCGCGCCUUGACUUUGUGGGGUUUCCCCGCAGGCCGGGCCGAGGUGGCGGUCGGGUUGGGCCACCCCAAGCCCCUUCUUUUCCCCAGCCCGCAGAGCCCGGCCUUGCCUAGUGCUCGGCGGGGUUCAGGCAGGUCCGGGGGAAGAGGGAGUGGAUGAAGCCUGCGAGAGCCGGAAGCUGCGGGGAGGCAGAGAGACGCCCGCAAAACUCUAGGCGCAGAGUCUCCGGGGUUUCCAGCCGGAUUCCUAGGGGAGGCGCGAAAACCCGAUCUAAACUGAGGUUACUGGAGGGACUCCUGGCCGGCACUCUUUUCUCCUGAAGAGGUCGUUUAGGGGGGCUCAGGCGUGGCCACUCCUUCCCCUGGAAGAAGUGUGAGCGCAGGGCCCUCGCCGGGUGAGGGGGCCGGCGGCGCUCACACUGUCCCUGCCGCCGCGGCACAGUCCUGCCCCGGCCCAGGGCAAUAUGAUGGGCACCGGGCAGAACUUGGAAAAAUAACUACAAAGCCAGCCCCGAGCCGUGGCUAUUGGUAGGGACAGCCCUGCCACCCCGCAGGCAAAGGCAUCCAGCCAUCUAGUUCCCUGCCACCGCCCCCUCCACCCGCCAACUUUGAGAUGGUUCAACCUCUUGACUUUGGAAUUAAAAUGCACAGCCCCAGCCACCCCAAGGAAGCGCUUAGAGCCACAAGGCGCUUUCGUGUUGAGCAGGGAAAGAUGGGCAGGUGUGCGAGACACGCAUUUCGGUGUGCCCUGCCACAUUGCUUGCAGCGUUGGCGCGUUUGGACAGCGCCUCCGGUUUGGGGCUCUGAGGCCGGGGAGUGCGCCCUCCAGCUUCGCGGGUCUGGGGUUCCCAGGGCCAGACCAGCCGCUACACUCUGCACACCAAUGCGCCCUCCAGGCCUGCCGGUCGCGACGUCCUUCUCCGCUCUCAGCACAGGCGCCAAGCCGGGAGUCAGGGCUUCCGGGUCCAGCUGCUGACAGAAGGAGGAGCGAGCUGCACUGGGGCUUCAGCACCGAGUCCAGAGGGAGAGAGAGGCGAGCGGGGUGAGCGGCCACCGGCGAGCUGGGGUUCGCUGCACACCCAUCACCACAGACAUUUCAAAAAGAAUCAAGCCUUUUGAAGUCUGCCAGAGCUGCGGUUUGUUAAUUGACACUGUUCAACUGAGUGACAAUUGUUCCGCUCAGUGGGGGCCAUCCACUCCCUUCCUCUCUCCCCCUCCUUUUUUUUUUUUUUUUUCUUAUAAAAUAGGAAUUAACUCCUUGGUUCUCCGUUCUUCUGUGCCAAGGGGCAGGAUUUAUUUAAGACGGCAAGGGCUUUGGCGAUUCUGUGCGUUGAAGUCUUUCUCACAUUUGCGUGAAUGUACUUCAGGAAGGCCGUGUUAAAUUCUCUCUCUCCAGAUCCCAGAGGGUCGCCGCUGCACCCCUGUUCCGGGCAUGAGCUGGAAAGGCCCUCUUAGUGGGUCCUGUGACCUGGAGCGAGUUAGUCUGAGACUUUGGGGACAGGGUGGGAGUCUUUCUCCUUCCUUGACACUGGGAGGAGCCAGGGAGCAGGGGGUUGUGGGUAUGCGGCUAGAGGGAAGGUUCCAGACACGUCGAGAGUGGGAAACUUAAAUUCCCCUCUCUGGUGUAGGCGCAGGCUUUAGCUCCAGGAUCUUUUCUGGAAGAGACUGGGGCAGCAUGAAUGUGCUGGAAGAUUAGAGGCUGCUGAUGCUGAAGGAAGGAGAAACGAGGAGGAAGUGUCCCUGUGGACAAGUCAUCUCCCUUCAUUUAAGCCAGGCCAGUAGUCCGGGAGACAUUCUGAAUGAUGCAUUAUCCUAGGCACCAGAAAGUAUCUAACAUUCUCAUGGACAGCAGGGAAAAAUGAGCACAUGAGACAGGGGAAGAUUCCAGCACCUGUGAACAUGUUUGUGCAGGUUUCCAGUCAGUACAUGGAUAUCCCUCAAGCCUUUGAAUCCAGUCUCCUGUGUUGUGAUUGGACCGUUUGUCAUUAGGUUUCCAGUGGCAGAGUAAUGCUGUGGGAGAACUGGCUACGAUGGCCGCAGGAGGUGAAUUAAGUAUUGUUGUGUUUUUAGUAGAACCACUAAAGGAAGAUCUGCAGGCAAGUUGGAUGAGUAUAAGAGCCAAAGAUUGACAAGACUUCCUCAGAUGCUCCUACUGACCAGUGGGGGCACUUCUACAGCUCCCCGAAUAUGUUCUCCCUGCAACCCCCACCACUUUUUAAUUAAAUGGCCAGAACUGCCUUUUUGUAUCAAAACUUAUUUUAGUCUAUCAAUCAAAGGCUUCUAUAGCCCACCUCAUGGCAAAGGAUAUCAGAGAGGGAAGGCUGGGAGGUAUGAAUUUGAAGCUGGACACGUUGCUGCUCCCCUUAAAGUUUGGAUUAUUUUACUAAAGAAGAAGAGAACAGGUA
rnacentral:lncRNA from 10 species